rnacentral:misc_RNA from 1 species
GAUGAAGAACGCAGCGAAAUGCGAUAAGUAAUGUGAAUUGCAGAAUUCAGUGAAUCAUCGAAUCUUUGAACGCACAUUGCGCCCCUUGGUAUUCCGGGGGGCAUGCCUGUUCGAGCGUCAUUACAACUCUCAAGCUCUGCUUGGUCUUGGGCGUCACCGGUCCCCGGUGUGCCUUAAAAUCAGUGGCGGCGCCAUCUGGCUCUAAGCGUAGUACAUACUCUCGCUACAGACGUCCGGUGGAUGCUGGCCAGCAACCCCCAAUUUAUCAAGGUUGACCUCGGAUCAGGUAGGGAUACCCGCUGAACUUAAGCAUAUCAAUAAGCGGAGGA